CCUCCUUGUGUCCUCCUUUUUUCCUCUUUUCCCCUUUUGUGCCCCCUGCUCCCGCGACGCCGCGUGAGUGAAGAAGUAUUUCGGUAUGUAAAGCUCUAUCAGCAGGGAAGAAAAUGACGGUACCUGACUAAGAAGCCCCGGCUAACUACGUGCCAGCAGCCGCGGUAAUACGUAGGGGGCAAGCGUUAUCCGGAUUUACUGGGUGUAAAGGGAGCGGAGACGGUGCAGCAAGUCUGAUGUGAAAGGUCGGGGCCCAACCCCGGGACUGCAUUGGAAACUGUUGAACUGGAGUACAGGAGAGGUAAGCGGAAUUCCUAGUGUAGCGGUGAAAUGCGUAGAUAUUAGGAGGAACACCAGUGGCGAAGGCGGCUUACUGGACUGUAACUGACGUUGAGGCUCGAAAGCGUGGGGAGCAAACAGGAUUAGAUACCCGAGUAGUC
rnacentral:rRNA from 1 species